GAUAAGGUAGUUUAAUUUGAGAGCGUCUAUUUUACACGUAGGAGGUGGAUUUGUAUCCUAUUGUCA
rnacentral:tRNA from 1 species